AAUAAGUUUAUUUUUCCGUUUUUGAAUACAACGUUUUGACUCUUGAUCUUAUUUAAAAUUUUUUUGCGAUUAAUAUUUUUAUUCUUACUAGAUGAUAAAACAUGAAUAAUACUUUAUGCGUGACUAAUUUUUUUAAAUUUUUGUACGAAUUUUUCAAAUAAGACAAAUGGCCAAACUUUAGACACAGUAAUUAAA
rnacentral:pre_miRNA from 1 species